rnacentral:rRNA from 1 species
UACACAUGCAAGNUCGNGCGGUAUCACAGGUAAAGCUUGCCUUUCNUGAUGACNAGCGGCGGACGGGUGAGUAAUGUCUGGGAAACUGCCUGAUGGAGNNGGAUAACCUNCCUGGAAACGGUAGCCUAAUACCGCAUAACGU